rnacentral:misc_RNA from 1 species
AAAGUCGUAACAAGGUUUCCGUAGGUGAACCUGCGGAAGGAUCAUUACAGUGCCUGUAGGGCGCCGGGGAACCCCCCCGGCGUCCUGCGCUCUGGCCACCCGUGUCUACCUUACUGUUUGUUGCUUUGGCGGGCCCGUCCCCCGGGACCGCCGGGGGUGCACCCCUUUGUGCCCCCUGGCCCGCGUCCGCCAAGGGACCCUCUGAACUCGUGUGAAAUAGUGUCGUCUGAGUUAAUGUGAAUGACAAAAAACUUUCAACAACGGAUCUCUUGGUUCCA